UACGGAGGGUGCAAGCGUUGUUCGGAUUUACUGGGCGUAAAGCGCGUGUAGGCGGCUUGGCAAGUUGAAUGUGAAAGCCCACGGCUCAACCGUGGAAGCGCAUCCAAAACUGCUUCGCUCGAGUCUCGGAGAGGAAGGUGGAAUGCUUGGUGUAGAGGUGAAAUUCGUAGAUAUCAAGCAGAACACCUGCGGCGAAGGCGGCCUUCUGGACGAUGACUGACGCUGAGACGCGAAAGCGUGGGGAGCAAACAGG
rnacentral:rRNA from 1 species